UACGAAGGGGGCUAGCGUUGUUCGGAAUCACUGGGCGUAAAGCGCGUGUAGGCGGAUCGUUAAGUCGGGGGUGAAAUCCUGAGGCUCAACCUCAGAACUGCCUUCGAUACUGGCGAUCUUAGAGUCCGGGAGAGGUGAGUGGAACUCCUAGUGUAGAGGUGAAAUUCGUAGAUAUUAGGAAGAACACCAGUGGCGAAGGCGGCUCACUGGCCGGUACUGACGCUGAUAUGCGAAAGCGUGGGGAGCAAACAGGG
rnacentral:rRNA from 1 species